rnacentral:rRNA from 1 species
ACUCAAAGGAAUAGACGGGGACCCGCACAAGCAGCGGAGCGUGUGGUUUAAUUCGAAGCAACGCGAAGAACCUUACCAGGGCUUGACAUCGGCCUGAGCACGCGAGAGAUCGCGCUCCCUUCGGGGCAGGUCGACAGGUGCUGCAUGGCUGUCGUCAGCUCGUGCCGUGAGGUGUUGGGUUAAGUCCCGCAACGAGCGCAACCCCCAUCGUCGGUUGCACAUGUCCGACGAGACUGCCACGCUAAACGUGGAGGAAGGUGGGGAUGACGUCAAGUCAGCACGGCCCUGACGUCCUGGGCGACACACACGCUACAAUGGCCGAGACAAUGGGUGGCCAACCCGCGAGGGGCAGCUAAUCCCCCAAACUCGGUCUCAGUUCAGAUUGCAGGCUGCAACCCGCCUGCAUGAAGUCGGAGUUGCUAGUAACCGUGGGUCAGCACACUACGGUGAAUACGUUCCCGGGUCUUGUACACACCGCCCGU